CUUACACCUACCCAUUGAGCCCUUAAGAACUCGCUCUGGGUGGGAGCCGGUACCGGGCUGCGAACCCUGUACCUAUCAGUCUUAUGUCCGAUGGCUUAACCACGACGCCACCGAGGCCGGUAGAUUGUUUCAUUAGCAAGGACUCUUUUUACGUCCAUUUUCCCACAGAUUGUCGUGGGGUACAGGCUUGGUUAAAAAGGUUAUAAGCACCACACUAUCAAUUGUAGGGUCGUUACUUGUAGUAAUUUAAUAUAGUCCGGUUUAGGAAAUAAAUGUAGUUCCUCAUAAAAAAAAUAAAACCUAAUACAAAAUUGUGAUAUGUCUUUUAAAAUUCUUCUCUGAUGAUUACAAGUUGGUUGACCGCUGUUUUAUUUAAAUAAUCCAUAAAGUCACUUGCUAUAUUUAGUACUAACUGAUAACAACUAUGCAAGUGGUUUACUCCCACAUGGGGCGGUGCUAACUGAACAUUUUUGUUGUAAGUACUAAUGAAUUAUUGUAUUGAACUGCAUAAAGUAAUUAAUGGUUGUGUGCAACCUUUUUCCAAGUCGGAAACGUCUUACAACAGUAAUUGUAGAAGGUAAAGCCAUCGGACUUGAGGCUGGUAGCUAUAGAUACUGGGUUCAGAUAACGGUACCGUUAUGAGUUUAAUGCGUAGAUUUAAGGUCACUUCGCCGACAAUUCAGAUAGCUACUAAGUCCCCCGUGCUGGUUUUUGUUGUUGUUGUUGUUGUUGUUGUUGUUGUUGUUGUUUUUUGUUUUUUGGGGGGGAGGGGAUAUUGUACUCUAUACUGGUUUCAAACUAUAUUGUGCCAUUCUAACAACUGUAGAUACAUGAUACAUGGAUCAUUAUGUAUAUAUAUUUAUUCAACAUGGAUAAAUUACACUAUCACAUGCAGUAUCUCAAAUCGUGCACCAUGGUUCAAGCCUGGAUCAUGACAUGAUUGACAAUUUGAUGAAACCCCCCACAAAAUCAUUAGUCCCCUAACCUCCCAACCGAAGGGAACUUUAGAUUUCGUCCCCGUCUUUCGGUCUAUCUGUCCGUCUAAAUCGUAGAUAGUUUUCUGGAUUUUGAGCAGACAUUUUGUGUACAGCUUUAUCAUGUACUUAGUAACUACAUUAGAUCAAGUUUGACUUUCAUGGCAGUUUACUUAUUUUUCACGCAGUUAUGGCCCUUGAACUUAGGAGAUACGAAAAAUUGUUCGGCUCGGUAGAGGUACAUGAGAGUACUUUAGCAGUACUCUCACAAUGCUUGUGUAGCUGUGUUUAUGUUUUGCAUCAGUAAAACAUGUCAUAGUAUUUCACUGAACUUAUCUUCGUGCUUAUAUCCAAUUACGGUUCAAGCACGCUGUCCUGGGCAAACACCUCAGCUAUACGAGCUGUCUGUCCAGGACAGUGGGUUAGUUGUUAGUUGGUUAGUGGUUUGUGAGAGAGAAGAGGGUGUAUUGGCCUUAUAUUUAGCCAAGCACGUUGCCCUGGACACGCACCUCAGCUAGUAGUUAGUGAGAGAGAAGAGGGUGUAUUGGCCUUAUACUUAGCCAAGCACGUUGCCCUGGACACGCACCUCAGCUAGUGGUUAGUAAGAGAGAAGAGGGUGUAGUGAAGCCGAUGCUGAAUCUUUGAUACAAUUCAUAAGAAUUACGAUUUAGAAAUCAUGUGUAAAACAUAUUGGUUAUUUGGAUCUGGGUAACCCAAUUUCAUAUUUUAUCCAGAUGAUAUUUUUUAUUUGACCGAUCAGAGCUUGUCCGUUACAAAUCAGUCACCAUCUCCAGACAAACUAUAUUAUAGAAGCAGGUAAUUACGUUUAGUAUUAACAAUUUUACAGACAAGUAUUGUUAUAUUCCUGUUGUAACUUUCAUCUCAGUUGCAUGAUGAUAUAUUUUUUGCAGAUGUACAUAUUUAGAACUAUAAUGUACUAUAUUUGUCCAUACUGUAGUUGUAAAUAAAA